AUAAUGCACAAACGUGUGGUGGAGUCAAUAUGUGUGUUUGAAAUGUAUUUCCCGCCUGCUUUUUUUGUUAGUAUGACUCAUGUUGUCGUACACUUGGCAGAAGAGGCACAUAAAUUGGGGUAUGUUCAGUUUAGGUGGAUGUACCCUUACGAGAGGAUGAUGAGGUACUACAAGGUUCUUGGUCGCAAUAAAAAAUUAUGUAGAAGGCUCAAUUACAAAACAAUAUGAAGUCGAUGAAGGAGCGCGCCAUUGCGUCGAGAUACUUCCUGAAGCGAGGAGAAAGUCUUUUAAGUGUCGUGGAAAGAUGCCAAUGCCCAGUGAUGUUUAUGAAGGCCCACACCCACCUGAUUCACAAGGAAAACCAUUUCUGCUCACCACCGUAGAGUAUGAACAAGUUAGUUUGUGGAUAUUGAGACAUUCGGAUGAAAAUACUGAAUGGGAAGCGAAGUACCAGACAUAUAUUUGUAAUUUGAACCAAAAUCGUAUGGGAAGGAUAAAACCUACAGACUACAUUGAAUGGCUGCAGAAACAACUUGAAGGCACUCCCAUGACAGAUUUUCGUAGGCUGGCAAUUGGUCCUACUUUUGCUACAUUUUCGUACAACUCAUAUUUUGUUAAUGGCUAUCUUUUUUACACA